GCGAGCCGGGUGACAACCGGACACAACGGGGACUGAUGGACGCAGUUAUUUUUCCGGUUUCUUGCUGCGACACCAACGCAUCGGUACGCGUGGACAUCUAACCUGUUCUCGGC
rfam:Rhodoplanes sp. Z2-YC6860, complete genome.